UACGUAGGUGGCAAGCGUUAUCCGGAAUUAUUGGGCGUAAAGCGCGCGUAGGCGGUUUUUUAAGUCUGAUGUGAAAGCCCACGGCUCAACCGUGGAGGGUCAUUGGAAACUGGAGAACUUGAGUGCAGAAGAGGAAAGUGGAAUUCCAUGUGUAGCGGUGAAAUGCGCAGAGAUAUGGAGGAACACCAGUGGCGAAGGCGACUUUCUGGUCUGUAACUGACGCUGAUGUGCGAAAGCGUGGGGAUCAAACAGGAUUAGAUACCCUGGUAGUCAAGGGCG
rnacentral:rRNA from 1 species